AAAUAACUAAGACCUGUCUCGAAUGGCGUCCAGUACAGGUACAUAUUGUGACAUCUGUCAGAGCAGACAUAUAUAUAAGGCGGCGGAGGAAUACUGUCCUGUAUGUGAAGAAGUCUUAUGUUCCGAUUGUUAUGAUCAUCACAAACUGUCAAAGGCAACAAAAAGUCACCAAGUGAUCUCGAUAGACGAGUAUAACAAGUUGCCUGCCUUUAUUCGAGAGAUCAAACAACAAUGUGACGAACAUGGGGAUAAGUUUGAAUUUUUCUGUCCAACGCAUAACGAGUUGUGUUGCAAACGAUGCAUAACAACAUCUCAUAGCGAGUGUAAAGGAUCAAAAGUUAUAGAAGAUUUUGUUGAAUUUUCGAAAUCUUCCGCGGCCAUAGAUGAAUACGAACAAACUUUAAAAGACGUUGAAGAGAAUACUCAAACUGCAAUUGCCGAUAGAAAAAAUAAUGUUGAAGAAUUUGAAAAACAGACACAGGCCAUAAGAAAACAAAUUAAAAAUAAAAGGAUUGAAAUCAACCAGCAUUUCGACAACCUUGAAGCGACAAUAAUGAAAGAAUUAUUCACUAUUAAAAGUGAAAAGAAACAAAACGUCCAGUCAGUUAUUGAAAAAUUAGAAGAAAACAAGAACAAAAAUAUACAACUCAGGGAAGAUGUAGAAGCAAUGAAAAAGUAUGGAUCAAAUAUACAAGUAUUUAUGGGAACAACAAAACUUCAACAACCCGUAUCACGUCAAGAGAGAUUUGUUCGAUCAUUACAAGACGACGAGAGUUUACGUUUCGUUAACUUGGAAUGUUCCAUUAGUGAAGAGUUAAAUGGCAUCACGACAAGGAUUCGAUCUUUCGGUACGGUUACACCGAUUUCUACUACUUCACGUGCUCAAUUUAAUUGGAAAAGUGACAAAUCAGCUCAGAUAUUGAAAACACCGACAGAUAUGAAUAGUAUUGACAAUAUUAACACUAAACUGAUAUGUAAGAUAGACGUUAAUAC
rnacentral:lncRNA from 1 species